rnacentral:rRNA from 1 species
UACGUAGGGUGCAAGCGUUAAUCGGAAUUACUGGGCGUAAAGCGCACGUAGGUGGCGACGUAAGUCGGGUGUGAAAGCCCCGGGCUCAACCUGGGAAUUGCAUUCGAGACUGCAUUGCUGGAGUACGGAAGAGGAGGGCGGAAUUCCCGGUGUAGCGGUGAAAUGCGUAGAUAUCGGGAGGAACAUCAGUGGCGAAGGCGGCCCUCUGGUCCAGUACCGACACUCAAGUGCGAAAGCGUGGGGAGCAAACAGG